UGUUUCAUAGUAGUAAAGGUAUUUUUUUCCGUAGGUGGCCAAGAUGUUGAUAAAAGUAAAACACAGAGAGACAAAGAAAUAUUCAAAAUUGGAAGAAGUCAGCUUCACAGAUUUUGUGAGAGCAGGUAAGUUAUGGUUUGUACUAAGUCAUUAAAGAAGAAAUGAUAAUGUUGUUAUUAACUAAGUGAUGAUUUUACUUCAGUGCAGCAGAAGUUUCUCAUACCAGAAAAUGCAGCACUGAAAGUCACGGAUGAGCAGGGUAUAGAGGUGGAUGAGGAUAUCUUUCCUGAACUUGCAGCAGUCAAAGAGGUGUGUUUUGUCAUCGAUACAGCUGAAGGUAAGUAAAUAUAUGCUCUGAUAGAUUUUGAAGGAUUUGAUUUGUACAGUUACUCUUAAAUAAACAUUUUUAAUUUGUCUAAUAUCCUGUGGUAACAAUCACAAAAUGCUGUUUUCAUGGCUCAACAGUAAGUUGGAUUUAUCACAUGCAUUUCAGACAUCCUGGAAACACAAUCAUCCAAGAAGCUGCGUGACUGCUCAGACCUAACACACUAUGUGACACUCACACCUUGUGAUUUGACUGUCCUGAAGCAACAUGUGGAAGAGCCCUCCUCUCCAAGUCUAACAGAUACAUUGUCUGUCUCAACCACCAGCAGUCAGAGCAGUGACACAAGUGAUGCCGGACUUCAAAUGGUUCAGCCUCUAUUGGACAGCAUACAUGAAAGAAAUGUAGAUACAGUACUUAAUUGACUUAUACUUGACUCUUUAGUUGCCAUUACUUGAAAAAGCUUAAACACGAAGAUAAAACAGAUUAGAGAAAAAUAAUUUAAUAUAGUAUUUCAUGUAGUUUGCUCUGCAACUGUAGUGUGUAAUAAGACUUGCUCUCUCUCUCUCGCUCUCUCUCUGUUUUUGUUAUGCAUGUUAACCAUGAAACGUGUUUCCAUGAUCAGUGUCCUGCUUUUCAGGUAAAUGAAACCAUUUUUAAGAAGAUACUGGUCCUAGAAAGGGAGAAAGUAAGACAUUUCAAAUGUUUUGAUUCCCAAAUGUCAUAUGGGUGUGAUUCACAAUUUUAUGUUCUGUGAGAGAGUUGCAUUACUUAAUUUGUUGGCUUGAUGGAGACUUUACAGAGUCUUCCUCACGUUAACACUGCAUUACAAGAAGUGCUUAUUCUGUAGUCAUUUUUUUCCUUUAAUUCUGUUUUUUUUUUUCUUUUCGCCCAAUGUUAGGCCUUUCUGACCUCAACUGUUUAGCUGCCAAUAAUGGUGGAUAUUAUGCUAUUACAGUACUGUUACACAGAAUGUAUGUUAAUCCAUGCAGCAUUCAUAUUUGAAUAUGUUAUUUUUGAUAAAUAAAAUCCAUACAUUCAUAAUAA